CACUUCUAAGGAAGGCAGCAGGCGCGCAAAUUACCCAAUCCUGACUCAGGGAGGUAGUGACAAGAAAUAACAAUAAACCGGCUUAUGCCGGUUUAAUUGGAAUGAGUACAAUUUAAACAUCUUAACGAGGAACAAUUGGAGGGCAAGUCUGGUGCCAGCAGCCGCGGUAAUUCCAGCUCCAAUAGCGUAUACUAAAGUUGUUGCAGUUAAAAAGCUCGUAGUUGGAUUUCUGUGGGGACGGAGCGGCCGGCCGCAACACGCGGUUCGAGCUAGCGCUUUCCCUACAUCCUGCCGCGAACCGUGCUACCAUUAAUUUGGUGGCGCCGGGGAUCGGCUCGAUUACUUUGAGAAAAAUAGAGUGUUCAAAGCAGGCCACAUGCCUUGAAUAAGUUAGCAUGGAAUAAUAACUAAGGACUUCGGUUCUAUUUUGUUGGUGUUCGGGACUGAAGUAAUGAUUGAUAGGGACAGUUGGGGCGGUCUGUAUUCCAAAGCGAGAGGUGAAAUUCUUAGACCUUCGGAAGACAAACAGUUGCGAAAGCGUUCCGCAAGGAUGUUCCCUUUGAUCAAGAACGAAAGUUGGGGGAUCGAAGACGAUCAGAUACCGUCGUAGUCUCAACUAUAAACUAUACCAGCUAGGGAUCGGCCAACGUUAUUUCAUACCGACUUGGUCGGCACCUUAUGAGAAAUCAAAGCAUCUGGGUUCCGGGGGGAGUAUGGUCGCAAGGCUGAAACUUAAAGGAAUUGACGGAAGGGCACCACCAGCCGUGGAGCCUGUGGCUUAAUUUGACUCAACACGGGAAAACUUACCAGGUCCAGACAUAGUAAGGAUUGACAGAUUGAUAGCUCUUUCUUGAUUCUGUGGGUGGUGGUGCAUGGCCGUUCUUAGUUGGUGGAGUGAUUUGUCUGGUUAAUUCCGUUAACGAACGAGACCCCAGCCUGCUAAAUAGCGCGCGUGAGCUUUGCUCGCGGCGAGCUUCUUAGAGGGACUCUGAUGCGCGAUAGCACAUGGAAGUUUGGGGCAAUAACAGGUCUGUGAUGCCCUUAGAUGUUCUGGGCCGCACACGGGCUACACUGGCGCCUGCAUCGAGCAUAUCAGCUGGCCCGAGAGGGUCUUGGCUAAUCUUUUGAACCGGCGCCGUGCUUGGGAUUGACCUUUGCAAUUGUUGGUCAUGCAACGAGGAAUGCCUUGUAAACGCGAGUCAUCAGCUCGCAUUGAAUACGUCCCUGCCCUUUGUACACACCGCCCGUCGCUCCUACCGAUGAAUGUUCCGAUGAAAUUUUCGGAGAGCACCUGUGAACUUGGCUCCGCCUUGCGAACGGGAGGCUCAAAGUCACUUAAAUCUGAACAUUUCGAGG
rnacentral:rRNA from 1 species